AGAAAAACACAGAUAUGGUGGUUGACACAGUCCUAAAAAAUGGAGUCAUGGAGGUAAGUACAUACUGCUCUUUGGAGAAACAUGGUUGUAAGGUGAACGAAAAACUAAGGUGUACACUAGAAGGAAACAGAGCGACAAAAUAGGAGAUGCUGAAAGAAAAAGAGAAGUUGAAAUACAGAAGAGAAGAGACGCAAUGUAAGCUUCCCAAAGAAAUGAGAAGAUGUGAUUCAAAGAACAGAUGGUAGGUUUAACAUUUGAAAUGUAGGACAACAAUUUAGCUAAAAUAGAAAGGGAAGAGGUAAGGCUGGCUCUGACUAUAUUUACACUUGUUUGUGUUUUGGGGAGAGAAAGGAAGUGGAGAACGUUCUUGCAAGAUGAUCUGUAUUUUCUCUCUAAAGCAGAGUUCAUUUGCUGAGAAUGAUGGAGAAAAUCAGCAUCUAGCUAAUCAGCUGACCAUGAGAUGCAGAGAUUAUCUGGAAUUAUCCAGAUUGGUCCAUUUAAUUACAUGAGUCCUUAAAAGUGGAAAGUGGAAGAAGAGGCAGAAGAGUGUGUCAGAGAGAUGCUGUGUGAAAAGGACUCAACCUGCCACUUGAGGCUUUGAGGCUGGAGAAAGGGGCCAUGAACCAAGGAUUGUGAGCAGCCUGUAAAAUCUGGAAAAGACAAGGCAAUACCCUUUGCUGUCUCAGGGUCAAACAUGCAACUCCUGCCUGCUUGUAUGGCCAGCUGGGUUCAAGAAGGAAGGAACCUCAUUGUUGACAGUUACCAGAUGAAUGUGCCCCUUCUGUACAGCUAAGAAAUGGAAUAGACAUUGGUAACCUUCCACAGGCCCACACAUGUGUUAUCAGCCAUACCUUAGGACAGAAGGAAUGAGUUUGCAGAAAGGAUGCUCUUCAGAACUCAUGAAGACAUAAGGUGCUUCAAAAGAGGAGACUUUCGGAACAUGAGCAGGGAAAUUGUCACUUGAUAGAUGACAAGCAUUGUGAGAAACAACAGUUUGCCUUUCUUCAUUCCCUUCCUGGUUAUCUUUCCUGUCACAUGAAGAAGAAAUGAAACACCAGAGAGAAUCAGGUUAUCAUCAUCUACACCAGCCACUGUCACUGGCCUUCAAAGUUCAACCUCCCUGGAACUCCAGAACUCCCCACUUUAUAAGAUGAAUGGCUAAUUGGAUCCUAGUACAUAAGGAAACACUGGCAAAAUAGCGCCCUACAACCAUACUGAGAAUUUAGCCCUGGGGACAUCUUCCGAUAUAAUCUGGCAUAGAAGAGUGGUUAUCACACCUUUAGCAUGGAUAGAAAUGCAAAACAAUAUUUGUAAUAGUCUGUGCUCACGCUGCUAUAAGGACAUACCCAAGACUAGGAAAGAGCCACAGAUUUGCUUCUUCCUAGCAAGGGCGUGAUACUAAUUCCAGAUCCAUCCAAAUAUUGUUCACUGCUUCUUAGACAGAGACCCCUUUCUCCCAGGACCCUUGAGACACCUUUGCUGUGAAUAAUGGAGAAGCAAAAGGAGUUACUAAUGAAGACAAACUAAACCUGAGAACAGAGAGAGCCUAACUAUGUGCUCCAGAAGUGCCAUGUGUGUCUAAGGUAGGUCCAAAGGUAUGAGUCUAGAGAUAUUAUGUAUAAAACACCUAAUUGAAUGUCAAAAAAUCCAUAGAAGCUUAAUAAUUGGUAGCAAUUAUUAUUACUCAUUAGUGUGGGGGCUGGGAAGAUGACAACAGAGUAUAACUUGGAGGGUUGGUGUAGAGCAAUUAGCUAGCAACUGUAGUUUGAAUUUCCAUGAAGUAGUUCCCUUAAUUGUGUACACACAAACACAUCAAAACUGAAACCACAGCUAUGUGAUUUAAUAAUGUUGCACGUUUAGACAUGAUACAAGGCACUUUUGCCUACAUUAUCUUUCUGUGAGUUUAACAUUAGACCUGGUAUAAUUAUCCUAAAUUUACUACUAGAGAAUUUAGUUUGAAAAGUCAUGCAACUUUUCUAAAGAAUUUUUUCUGAUUUAAUAACACCAAUCAAUGAAUUAAUCAAUCAACUGUUCUGGCCAUUAAAUGUGUGAGAAAAAAAAGUCAGUGUAUUAAUUAUAAUUAUAUACCGAGACUUGGCUCUGUGUGUUUCACAAAAUAAGUAUAAAGUAUCAAAUUUGUUAUAAAUGUGUGACCCAUUAAAAGAAAAAAAAACUUGAUAGAUGUGUAUUUGGUAACAGCUUUUUAGAAAAUUUUUUGAACAUUUAUGAUGUUCAGAAAAGAACAGUGAUCAGUGUGCUAAAUUAAAUUACUUGAAUAAAUUAUGGAGAAAAAGUUCUGAUUUUUGUGCAAGGUUUGCAUUCUGGAUUGAGGUCCAGUUCUUUUUGAAGUAUCUGAAAUCAAACAUAUAUUUCCAAACCCUGAGGACUGAUUUCCUUCUGAAGACCACCCUCUCUUCUAUUUGAGGAACUCCAUAUUCCUUCUUGUAACACUACUCUGAUUCUAUAUCAAGCAAUCUUGGCCUUGUUAAGAUAAGAAAGUUGCCUUAAGCACUUUCCAAAGCUUUCCUACAUUCACUGUUGGUGGAUGGUGUCCCUACCCUACUUGUUCCCCUGCAGAACCUCAGAUUGGAGAUAUAAGGGGUGAAAUAACAGCCAAGUACCUCAGAGCUAAGUACUUUACAUAUAACUCAUUUAAUCCUCACAGCAUUGCUAUGGAACAAGUACUAUUAUUCAUCCCAGUUUACAGAUAGAAACUAAGGCAGAGAAAGGUUAAAUAAUCAAAGUUUACCUACUAGAUAACAGAGUGGGGGUAGAAACCAAGCCAUUCUGGCUUUUCCUGCUUGUAACACCAGGGUGGUAAAGGUGAAAAUUUGGGUUCAUUCUCACAGAGAAGAGGUUAUUAAGGCUCAGACUGGACAGAUAGCAUGGGAAUGAUGAGCAAGCAGGAAAUUUAAGAGUCAGAUCUUAGAAAAAUAUGACAAAGCCUAGAGACUGGCAACUGACAUGAUCUGAGAAAAGUGAGGAGGCCAGUGUUCCUUGUUUGGAAACAGGAGGAAUAAUGGGACCACUGGUUGAAAUGGAGUGCAAAUGUCUUAUAAGAAAAGGAAAAAAAUGACACCAACUUGACCCUCAAGUAUAUUUUGAGUAUAUUCUAUUUCUCUUUUCAUUAGAAGAAAUUUAAUUUGAGAAAUGAAUAGAGAAAGAAAGGGGAAAGGAGAAUGUUUCAAAGAAUAAGGUUAAAGUCAUCACAGCUUGACAGCAAUCUAAAAGUCAAAAAGUAUGCCAGAAUAGCAGGUAUUUGAGACCCACUGUUCGAAACAAUUUUAUUUUAAACACAUGUGGUUCCUUAAUGAUACUGGUAGCAUGGUGGUUGUGCAGCCCGCCUUUAGCAGGAAGUGCUGAUUUGCUUAAUUCUAUUAAGCCUAUAAGAAAGGUAAAUCUGUCUCCUGAACUUAAGGGGCCUCUGCUCUAAAGUAAGUUUGACAUUGGCCAAUAAUCACCCUGACAUUCUUGUGGCUUUGGCUGCUCUUGAAGCUGCUGAAUUGCACCAAGAGAAGAGGCUGAGUGAGAAAGCCUGGUUAUAGCAAUGGCCCAUCCUGUCAGUGCUGGGAGUGGGUACUAUACUCAAAGCAGUAUAAAUACAGAUGCUGCACAUUAUGCUCUGCUAUGCUGGCUGCCUUUGGGAUGAUUGUUGGGAAAGUUCUUGAAGCCAGUGGUGUUAGAGGGGACAGUGUGCUUCUUGAAACAAAAGAGUUGAUGGUGAGAAUGGUCUUUGAAAACUGUACUCUUUACAAAGGUGAACUCUGCAAACUGGGCCUACUGAAAGAAAUAGGGAUUCUAUUUUCAUUACUGUUUUAUCAUCAAAAUACCAUAAGGCCUGGCCCUUAGCAAAUAGUCCUUAAAUAUCUGAUACCAUUAGAAGCUUGCUUCUAUGAAGGGUGAUCACCCAUCCCAGUUUGCGUGGGACAGUCUUAGUUUACAUUAUUGUCCUUGCAUCCUGUUCAGCUGGUAUAUAUCCAAGUCUCUUAAUUUUUAUUCAAGUAUUAUUAUUAAUAGUUGUACAAAAAUAAGUCAGAAUAAGUUUGGUAGACCUCUACUUUAUUUCCAGCUUCUGUCAUUUUCUUCCUGGUAGUAGGUAUGAGACAUAUAUACAUGGAAAGAUAAUCAGCAGUAGCCUAUCUCUCUCCCUUUAAUUUUUUAAAGAACUUUCCAGAUUCAAGAAUGGACAAGGCACUCAGUUAUGAGCAACAAAUUCCUUUUGUCUUGGAGAUCAUGGAAGAAGUAUUAGAUGCUGCUCCCCUUAGUGUAACAGCCAGUUUUGUUGCAGCCUGUGGGGCCUGCAAGCUACACAAAACCACCAGGAUCCUAGAAGAGUCACUAGGAAACGUAGAGUAUUAUAGCUAGAUAAACAUCAUCACAUAUGUGUAAAAGAUAGAGACUGAACAGUCCAGUCUUAAAAUGUAUAGCAAAGUAGUUUGAAUGCUCUUGUUACAGUGAUUUUGUCAUCUACCAAUUUUAAGUGUGUAGUGAUUUAUCUAUCACAUUAUUUGGCAAUACUUUCUGAAUUUUGCAAUACAUGCAACAAUGACCUAAAAAAUGAAAGUGCAUGUUUAAUUUAAAAAUUAAAAGUAAAGCCAGGCGCAGUGGCUCACACCUGUAAUCCCAGCACUUUGGGAGGCUGAGGCGGGCGGAUUACCUGAGGUCGGGAGUUCAAGACCAGCCUGACCAACAUGGAGAAACCCUGUCUCUACUAAAAAUACAAAAUUGACUGGGCGUGGUGGUGCAUGCCUGUGGUCCCAGCUACUUGGGAGGCCGAAGCAGGAGAAUUGCUUGAACCUGGGAGGCGGAUGUUGCGGUGAGUGGAGAUCGCGCCAUUGCACUCCAGCCUGGGCAACAAGAGCAAAACUCUGUCUCAAAAAAAAAAAAAAAAA
rnacentral:lncRNA from 1 species